AAAUUGAAGAGUUUGAUCAUGGCUCAGAUUGAACGCUGGCGGCAGGCCUAACACAUGCAAGUCGAGCGGAAACGAGUUAUCAGAACCUUCGGGGAACGAUAACGGCGUCGAGCGGCGGACGGGUGAGUAAUGCCUAGGAAAUUGCCCUGAUGUGGGGGAUAACCAUUGGAAACGAUGGCUAAUACCGCAUGAUGCCUACGGGCCAAAGAGGGGGACCUUCGGGCCUCUCGCGUCAGGAUAUGCCUAGGUGGGAUUAGCUAGUUGGUGAGGUAAGGGCUCACCAAGGCGACGAUCCCUAGCUGGUCUGAGAGGAUGAUCAGCCACACUGGAACUGAGACACGGUCCAGACUCCUACGGGAGGCAGCAGUGGGGAAUAUUGCACAAUGGGCGCAAGCCUGAUGCAGCCAUGCCGCGUGUGUGAAGAAGGCCUUCGGGUUGUAAAGCACUUUCAGUUGUGAGGAAGGUAGUGUAGUUAAUAGCUGCAUUAUUUGACGUUAGCGACAGAAGAAGCACCGGCUAACUCCGUGCCAGCAGCCGCGGUAAUACGGAGGGUGCGAGCGUUAAUCGGAAUUACUGGGCG
rnacentral:rRNA from 1 species